rnacentral:rRNA from 1 species
AGAGUUUGAUCCUGGCUCAGGAUGAACGCUGGCGGCGUAGCCUAAUACAUGCAAGUCGAACGAGGUAGCAAUACCGGAGUGGCGAACGGGUGAGUAACACGUAGGUAACCUGCCCUUAAGCUUGGGAUACCCAGAGGAAACUUGGCUAAUACCGGAUAACAACAGAGAAGGCAUCUUCUUUGCUUGAAAGGCCCCUUCAAGGGUCACUUAAGGAUGGACCUGCGGCGCAUUAGCUAGUUGGUGAGAUAACAGCCCACCAAGGCGAGGAUGCGUAGCCGAACUGAGAGGUUGAUCGGCCACAUUGGAACUGAGACACGGUCCAAACUCCUACGGGAGGCAGCAGUAAGGAGUUUUCGGCAAUGGGGGAAACCCUGACCGAGCAACGCCGCGUGAGCGAUGACGGCCCUAUGGGUUGUAAAGCCUCUGUUGCAAGCCAUGAAUGAUAGCUUGAGGAAAUGCAAGUUAUUUGACGACAGCUUACCAGAAAGCCACGGCUAACUACGUGCCAGCAGCUGC